rnacentral:rRNA from 1 species
UACGUAGGGUGCGAGCGUUGUCCGGAAUUAUUGGGCGUAAAGAGCUUGUAGGCGGUUUGUCGCGUCUGCUGUGAAAAUCCGGGGCUCAACCCCGGACUUGCAGUGGGUACGGGCAGACUAGAGUGUGGUAGGGAGACUGGAAUUCCUGGUGUAGCGGUGAAAUGCGCAGAUAUCAGGAGGAACACCGAUGGCGAAGGCAGGUCUCUGGGCCACUACUGACGCUGAGAAGCGAAAGCAUGGGGAGCGAACAGG